rnacentral:rRNA from 1 species
UACAGAGGUCCCAAGCGUUGUUCGGAUUCACUGGGCGUAAAGGGUGCGCAGGUGGGUUUGCAAGUUCGAUGUGAAAGCCCCGGGCUUAACCCGGGAAUGGCAUUGGAUACUGCAGAUCUGGAGGAUCGGAGGGGGGACUGGAAUUCUUGGUGUAGCAGUGAAAUGCGUAGAGAUGUGGAGGAAUACCGAUGGCGAAGGCAGCCCCCUGGGAUAACACUGACGCUCAUGCACGAAAGCGUGGGGAGCAAACAGG